rnacentral:siRNA from 1 species
UCCAAAUACUUCACUGUCUGCUGC